rnacentral:tRNA from 1 species
UCUCUCGUAGCUUAGUGGUCAAAGCAUUGGCGCGUAACGCCAAAGAGCCGGGGUUCGAUUCCCGGCGGGGGUG